CCUACGGGAGGCAGCAGUAGGGAAUCUUCCACAAUGGGCGAAAGCCUGAUGGAGCAACGCCGCGUGGGUGAAGAAGGUCUUCGGAUCGUAAAACCCUGUUGUUAGAGAAGAAAGUGCGUGAGAGUAACUGUUCACGUUUCGACGGUAUCUAACCAGAAAGCCACGGCUAACUACGUGCCAGCAGCCGCGGUAAUACGUAGGUGGCAAGCGUUGUCCGGAUUUUUUGGGCGUAAGGGGAACGCAGGCGGUCUUUUAAGUCUGAUGUGAAAGCCUUCGGCUUAACCGGAGUAGUGCAUUGGAAACUGGGAGACUUGAGUGCAGAAGAGGAGAGUGGAACUCCAUGUGUAGCGGUGAAAUGCGUAGAUAUAUGGAAGAACACCAGUGGCGAAGGCGGCUCUCUGGUCUGUAACUGACGCUGAGGUUCGAAAGCGUGGGUAGCAAACAGGAUUAGAUACCCUAGUAGUC
rnacentral:rRNA from 1 species